rnacentral:rRNA from 1 species
AUUGAACGCUGGCGGCAUGCCUUACACAUGCAAGUCGAACGCGAAAGGGGGGCAACUCCUGAGUAGAGUGGCGCACGGGUGAGUAAUGCAUCGGAACGUGUCCUGUAGCGGGGGAUAACCUAGCGAAAGCUAGGCUAAUACCGCAUACGUCCUACGGGAGAAAGUGGGGGAUCGUAAGACCUCACACUAUAGGAGCGGCCGAUGCCGGAUUAGCUAGUUGGGGGGGUAAAAGCCUACCAAGGCGACGAUCCGUAGCUGGUCUGAGAGGAUGAUCAGCCACACUGGGACUGAGACACGGCCCAGACUCCUACGGGAGGCAGCAGUGGGGAAUUUUGGACAAUGGGGGAAACCCUGAUCCAGCCAUGCCGCGUGAGUGAAGAAGGCCUUCGGGUUGUAAAGCUCUUUCGGCCGGGACGAAAUCGCACGCGUGAAUAUCGCGUGUGGAUGACGGUACCGGAAGAAGAAGGACCGGCUAACUACGUGCCAGCCGCCACCGUAA